AUGGCCACCGGCGCCGCGGAGUUCCAGUGCAACGUCUGCAAGGAGCUAGGCGCCGGGGACCGGUACACGAGCCGACCCUGUGACUUGGACCUCCACAACGACCGUGUCAUCGGAGAGGCCACGCUGGUGCACCCAUUGUUCAAGGGCAGCAGGGAAUUCCAGCUCUGCCACGAGCACCCGGCUGCCAAUAAGGGCUUGGAAAGGAGGCGUCUGACGAUGGUGAUCCCUCGGGAUGAGCUCACGCCCGAGCUUCGGAAGGAGGCGUCUCAACGGUGCAAGGGCUGCCAGGAAAGAGGCCGGGAAGGAGCUGCUUCUACCGUUCUACCUGCAAGACCGUACGUACCUGACGUCGCCUGUGUCCAAGAGAUUACUCGCCGGAGCUGUGGCACCGGCGGCUCUUGUACUGAUGCAUUCGCUUCUGUUAAGAAAGCGGUGCUGCAGAUCGUCUACAGCCCAAAGACGGACGAAAGUGAGUUGAGCUCUCCAUUCUCGGGCUGUGUUCUUGGAGGUUAG
rnacentral:rRNA from 1 species